AGUCCACAAACGGGAAUCAUGUCAACCAGUAGGAAAGAUUUUUUGGUUGUCGCUGCCAUAGACUUUGGAACGGCAUAUUCUGGCUAUGCAUUUUCGUCGAUUCAAGAAUUUAAGUCAGAGCCGCUGAAGAUAUCAGCGAAUACUUGGAUUGGUGGAAGUUUGAUGUCCCAGAAGACUUCAACAUGCGUCCUGUUUGAUAAAGACAAGACUUUUAAUUUUAAAAAGUUUGGUUUUGAUGCCGAAGAUGCGUAUGCGGACUUUGCUAUGGACGACAAUCACAAAGAUUACUACUACUACAGACGUUUUAAAAUGGAGCUUUUCAACAAACUGAAACUCAAGCGACGAUUCAUGCUUGAAGACGUUUUUUUUGUAAAAGAUGCUGGCAAUGGACGUAUUUUCGGCAUGUAUUAAGUUUCUCAAGGAUGACUGCAUCGGGAAAAUUCGGUUACAACUGCCCGAAAUUCGUGACACUGAUAUCCGAUGGGUUCUAACAGUGCCAGCGAUCUGGAACGUUUCGAAACAGUUCAUGCGAGAAUCCGCUGCUAAGGCUGGCAUACCCAACGAGAGUCUCCUGAUCGCCCUAGAACCGGAGGCUGCAUCGCUAUGCUGUCGUCAUUCUCCAAUGACUUCAUUGAAAGGUUCACAGAAGUUUUAUGCCAUUUCAGCCGGGAACAAAGUACCUUAUAUUUGACGCGGGCGGUGGUACCAUAGAUAUAACCGUACACGAGGUGAUGCCAGGAGGAGGCUUUAAAGUGUAACGGAGGAGACUGGGGUGGGACGUUCGUUGACAGAGCCUUUAGAAAUCUUCUUGCUGAAAUUGUUGGAAAUGACAUUAUGACUGGAAUUUAAACUUCAAAAACGUCUGAUUACAUAGAUAUAUUUCGUGAUUUCGAGGUUAUCAAAAGAAAAUUUGCCGUUUCCAUGUCGGAAAGAGUAACUUUUAAAGUACCGGCUGCAUUGAACGAAAUUUUCAAAGCAAAGUAUGGAAAGGAUAUCAAAGAUCACUUACCUUCCCUGGCGAAGUAUAAAGACAAAAUAACAUGGCUUACGGACAAGAUUCGAAUCGAAGCUGACGUAGCCAAAUGUCUUUUCAAAGAUGCUUGCGACCAAGCAUCGAAGCAUCUAGCUUCAUUAUAUCUGAAGGAUGAAGUCAAAGGUAUUGACACGGUACUGAUGGUUGGCGGAUUUUCUGAGUCACCAAUGCUUCAAAAGAGAAUUCAGGAGUCAGUGCCGCAAGACAAGAAAUGUACGAUUCCAAAGGAUCUGGGUCAAGCAGUGCUUAAAGGCGCCGUUAUAUUCGGCCACAACCCUUUAAUUAUUGAAGCACGCUGAGCACGAUAUACAUACGGGGUGAAAACAUCGGUCGCGUUUGAAGAAGGCACGCAUCCGGAUUCAAAACGGACAACGAGCGACGACGGUGAAGACUACUGUACUGACAUUUUCAACGAGCACGUAACGAUCGGACAAGAGCUGGUUUUAGGAAAAUCAAACAUGGACCAAGAAUAUUCUCCUUUAAACAAAGAUCAGGAACGAAUGACUUUUGCGUUUUACGCGUCUACUGAUCCCAACCCAGCUUUUGUCACGGACGCAAACUGCACAGAGUUUGGCCAGUUAACGGUAGACCUGACGGAUUCUGAUGAUGACCGAGCAUUUAGUGUCACAAUGAUAUUUGGUGACACGGAGCUUCAUGCCGAAGCUGUUGAGAUGGCAAUUGGUAUGAAGACAAAGUGCGUGCUUAACUUUUUGGGAUAAAGCACGAAUUAGAUAUUUAAGCAGAAAGAUGCUAUCGGCAUGUAAUAAUGAACAUCGUGGCUUUCAUUCGUCUUUACGUUGUGUAUAUUUAUAUUUAAUGUCAAUUUAUAAUGAUUAUUUUGCUUAUUUUAUGCUGACAGCAGUUUUUUUAAUUAUAUUAUUGUUACACUUAAAUUGAUGUUUCUAAUGUG